rnacentral:lncRNA from 1 species
CCACACGUUGAUGGUGCGAAGACCUGAUGUCUCUGUUGUUUGGAUACGUGUGUGAGUUAACGAGCUACUGGGAGAAGACGAAGAAGCUUUUGCAGAAACAUGAGGAUAUUGAGGGAAAUGCUGCUGCUAACCAUUUGGAUUAUAUUGCUGUCUGACACUCAGCUUCUGCAGAUAACACAAGGUGAAGGAAUACCUUUGAAAAGCCAAAACCCUGCAGAAGGACUUCCUUAUUCAUGGUGCACGGACUAUGGUACCAGAAAUGUAAGUCAUGCCUGAAGCAGUGAUUGAGCACCUGGUGGGAAGGCAGGGCCAACCCAGGGGAGCUCAGGUUCAUGCAGUGCACCUGAGUGGAAGGGGUGGAGUCAGGAUUGACCCCUUCCCAGACCUCAUUUAAGGGUUGGCAGUGGAAGCAAAGUUAUCUUGCUGGAUAUCACUGCCUACCUGCAGCUUUCUAAGGGAAUGCAGAUUUUUUUUUUCUUCCUUUCUUUCUGUGUUUACAGCUGUUGCAUUUGAGCAUGUCUUCUCUUGUUGCAGCCUAGGACAUUGCUACUCUGUUGUCAUUGUUGUGUUUUCCAUCACGUAGCAGCAUUGCAACCAUUUUUCUUACCCUUUCGUAGGCUGGUAUCUAGCAUGACAUAAAUCAGUAAUAGGAGAAGAUCUUCAGUCUGAAAGAAGACCAUCACAUAUGUUCACUGAGAUGAUGUACAUUGUUAGCUGAUGAAUAGUUCACGAAGACUUUAUAUAGAGAGAAUGGGAUUAUUUUCACUUGGACUGUUUGUGUGAUGGAGGGAGGAUGUAGGAGCAGCAGAGAGGGAUUGGUUGAUUCCCUUGUUAUUUAUACAGAACUUCAAAAAGCUCCUGAAGCAGACAACGAUAGCUGCUUCUUUCCUUUCUGUGUGUGUGUUUUGUGUUCAUAAGAAAACUGGUCAUUCUGAGUAUCUUAAAUUUUCAGUAGCUAAUGUGUAAUCAAGAGUUUUCCUGUAGGAAAGUUUUCAUAUUGAGGAAACUGUAAGCAGUACUGCCUUAAUGCUAGAGCUAUUCUUGAUUUGAUGAGAAUAGCAAUGAUAGAUGGUGUAUGUGUGAAGAAAGACAGUAAUGUUUGAGUACCCUGUAUGCCAGCUCUAAUCGCUCACUGAUGUAAUAUAUGUUGCAAUGGCCUGUGUUUGUGAAAGCAUAGUAAUUACCUUUCCAGAGAAAUGAA